rnacentral:rRNA from 1 species
UUCUGGGAGGAUUGACAGAUUGAGAGCUCUUUCUUGAUUCCGUGGAUGGUGGUGCAUGUCCGUUCUUAGAUGGUGCGUGGUUCCGAUAACGAACGAGACUCUAACGUAUUAAAUAGGUGCGUGGUUCCCUCCACCUUGCACCCUUCUUAGAGGGACAAGCGGCUCAAAGCCGCACGAAACAUGUGACUACUUCUACCAUUUUGGCGAUUGCUCA